rnacentral:rRNA from 1 species
GAUGAACGCUGGCGGCGUGCCUAAUACAUGCAAGUCGAACGCACAGCGAAGGGUGCUUGCACCUUUCAAGUGAGUGGCGAACGGGUGAGUAACACGUGGACAACCUGCCUCAAGGCUGGGGAUAACAUUUGGAAACAGAUGCUAAUACCGAAUAAAACUUAGUGUCGCAUGACACAAAGUUAAAAGGCGCUUUGGCGUCACCUAGAGAUGGAUCCGCGGUGCAUUAGUUAGUUGGUGGGGUAAAGGCCUACCAAGACAAUGAUGCAUAGCCGAGUUGAGAGACUGAUCGGCCACAUUGGGACUGAGACACGGCCCAAACUCCUACGGGAGGCUGCAGUAGGGAAUCUUCCACAAUGGGCGAAAGCCUGAUGGAGCAACGCCGCGUGUGUGAUGAAGGCUUUCGGGUCGUAAAGCACUGUUGUAUGGGAAGAACAGCUAGAAUAGGGAAUGAUUUUAGUUUGACGGUACCAUACCAGAAAGGGACGGCUAAAUACGUGCCAGCCGCCGCCGUAA